GGUGGGGGUGGGUAAGUACCUCAAGGUGCUGCAGCUCCACCGCGACCUGAGGCCCUUUGGCGUUAAUAAUUGGCUGCUGGGACAAGUUUUGUUUGAUAUUUAAUACUAAAUUAUCCACUGAGGUGUGUGUGUGGUUUUUUUUUUUUUUUGGUUGCGUUCUGGAAAUGAUACGUCGAGGGAAAUGUGAAGUGUGUGGCAAUUAGAAACUGAUCGAGUAGAAAGUUCAAUUUUUGAGGGGGAAAGGGUAUGGAAUUUGUCAUUCUAAUGUUAUUUCCAUUACAAAGUAAUUGCUCAACCUUGCACCUGUGUAUCACUGAAGUCAUCAACCACAACCUCUUCCUGAAAGACAGGACAUUCUGUUUUAAAAUUAGUUACCACUUCUCCAUCAAAAAAGAAACUUUGGGGGCUUUUCGCAUUAGCACAGCGAAAAGCCCUGUGCUCAAACCUUCAAGCCCCAGCACUUAAAAAAAGAAAGAAAGAAAGAAAAGAAAACAAGGAAAAAAAUAUUGUACUAAGAUUACAAAGAUAACCAGACGUGGUGUGCCUCGUAAUUAAAGAACACACUGUGAACACAUAACACACGUACAAACCACACUCACGCCCCACCCAUACAUAUACCAGAGCAUAUACAAUCCAAAUCUGAUCAGGUCCCUAAAUUGGACUGUUAAUGUAUAGAAGCUGGAAAGAACCGAUGAACAUGUUAAACCACACCACAGGAAUCCAAAUCAACAAGAUCUGACUGGGGAACCCUAUAGCAAGACUCCUUGGUUUUUUAAUAAAUAAAAGAAAGGAAACCUACAAAUUAACUGGGACUUAAAAGAUGAAUCAACCCAUUGCAAUAUGUUGACUUCACUUAGAUUCUGACUCAAAUAAUCAUUUUUAAAAGUUUGAUAUGCAAACAUUAAAUAUCAAUUGGAUAGGUGAAUUAAGAAAUUAUUAACUUUUAAGCGUGAUGAUAGCAUUAUGGUUAUUGCAUCUUUAAAGAGCUUUUAUUGCUUACAGAUUCAUACCAGAAAAGAAAAACUAAACUACAACUGAAUUAUGGUACAUGUAAUUAACCAUACAAUGUAAUGCAAGACACGACUAUGUACCAUUUCUUUAUAUAUUUAUAUGAAUUGAGCUACAAAAUAUACUGUUAAAUUGCAAAACAGCAGGUAUGAAGGGAGGGGUGUGUAUAUAUAAUACGUGUUUCCUUGGAUAUGCAUAAAAUGUUUAUCAGGACAAACAAGAAAUGAUUACUUUGUGGUAGAGUAAGUAAGUAGGGGAGAGAGUGUGGAAGGGAUUUUUUUCCCACUGAAUACUUUGUCACAUUUGAAGUGAAAAAAUAAUGUGGAUUUUUGACAUUCGUAGAAAAAGGAGAGAUUUUGAGCUAUAGAAUUGUUGUAGGGAUUGACAGUUACUUAACAUCUAGGCAUGCUUUAGUUUGCAUUUUUAAAAUUUCUUAAUGUGUAAACACAAUCAAAAAGGUAACUGAGUACAAAUACAAUGCUUUGGAGUUUUAAGAUUUUUAAUACAUUAUCUGGCUCUCACAUCUUUUCCUUACUUUUGUCAAGUAAUUUUCAGUGAGGCAAUCAUACCAGUUAUUCUGGAAAGAACUGUCCAGUCUACUUUUCAAAGCUGUGGUAAAUCUGAAUAGUUUCAGAUGACAUUAGGAAAUUUCAGAUGAGAGCAACACACUUUUGAAAUUGACACAUUUUUCUACACAGUUGUUUUCUUUUCCAUUUGCUUAAUCUUUGAAUAGGCAAAUAAUCUUUAUGACCAUUUCAAUAAUGAUUUAAUUGAGAUCUAGUAAUGAUGUUGAAAGGUAGUAGCCACAGGAAGCUUUGUCAUAUUUAUAGAAGAGAAAUUAAACAUAUUUUUAUAUUCACUAUGAACAAACCUGAACCACAAUAAUAAUAUAUCAUCUUUUUCUGGACAUCAAGUAACCCAGUCAGCAGUUAGUUGCCAACUUAUAUCUUUUCUUACAUAUUUUAAAAUGUAUUAUUGGAUUAUAAAAUUAGCACAUUUGAUUUUGCAAUUAAAACAUUCACAGAUUUGUUUUUAACUAAAGUGGAGUUAGUGUAAUAGGAAAUACACUCCACCUUGCCUGUCUGUUCUCUGUCCUGCUGGUCUCACUCUGUAGCAGGGGACAUUGUGUACUCCCACUUACUGCUAGCAUCUUUAGUCCCAUGUGGUCUUUACUCUCAGAGUCUAAUCUGGGCCUGUCUCCUCGAGGUCCCUGUCCUUCCAGUACACAGCCUUCUCAGGACUCUGGGCCUCCCUUCUUUGGAGGGAUACUCACCCUCAGCUGAGUUCCUUAUCCAUGAGGGGUUCUGCAGGAUUCUGUGGGAUUGUCCUCAGGCUUAUCAGUUAGACAUUUCCCUUAUUGAUUGUUAAUGUACUGCUUAAAUGCACUGCAAACAGGGCUACCCUUUGAGACUUUACGCUCUCUGGUUAUACCAAGAGAGCCAGGCAGGCAACCAUACCUUUUGCCUGCCUGUGUCUCAACUUACCAGGAGUGCAAUAUUGGUAGAAGCACAGGUGGCAGGAGGAAAUUGUGUGGUGGUCUCAAAAGAAGCAGGAAAAAGGUUUGAUAAAAUUUAAUGUCUAUUGGCAACAACUGGGUAGAAGAUCCAGUAGAACUGAAGUCUUGGAAUAAAAUGAGAGAAUUUCACAAGGUUGUUAGCUAGAAAAUUAAUGUACAAAAAAUUUGUAAUUUAAUAUACCAGCAACAACCAGUUCAAAGAUUUAAUUAGAAAGAAGGCACUUAUAAUAACAUAAAAAUGUACCUAGAAACAAAUCUAAGAUAUAUGAGACCUUCAAGAUCAAAUUAUAUAUAUAAAUGUGUAUACACACACACACACACACGUAUCAGGGCAGAUAUGGAAGAAUGAAAGGAUCAAGAACCCCUAAGACAAAUCUAGGACAAAACAAGGUAAGGGGGUUUACCCUGCCAAAUACUAAGGUUUGUGUAGAGCUUUAAUUUAUAAUAUAGACGGUGUCUUAGUCUGUCCAGGCUCUUCUAAUACAUUGCCAUAGACUGGGGGUGGCUGAUAGACAAAAGAAAUGUAUUCUUACAGUUCUGGAAGCCAACAAGUGUGUGAUGAAGGCACUGGCAGUUUCUGUGUCUGGUAAGACUCUUCCUGGCAUUUUCUUACCGUGUCCUCCUGAGGUGGAAUGCAGGAGACAUCUCUGUGUAGUCUCUUUCAUAAGGGCACUAAUCCUAUGUGCCAGGGUCCAGCCCCGGCAGGGGAUCCAGGGGUCCUGAAGGAGGAGUGACGUUGGCAAAAGAAGAAUAUAUUUUUAUAUCUUUUUUACAAGAGUUUUUUUAGGUAGUUAAUGAAGAGCUUCAAAGCCCUAAACUUAUUUGAUUUACAUAAUUUUCAAGAGUUACAAUCUUUUCUGACAUACAUUGAUAGUGAGUACAUUGUUCAAAAUAUUUUUCUUUUUAAAAAAUAUUUAUUUUUUAGUUUUAGGUGGACACAGUAUCUUUAUUUUACAUUUAUGUGGUGCUAAGGAUAGAACCCAGUGCCCCGAGCAUGCUAGGCAAGCACUCCACCACUGAGCCACAACCCUAGCCCCUCAAAAUAUUUUUCUAUAAUCUUAGCCAAUCAUGAUUAAGCUUUUACGUUUUUACCUCAAUCACUAGGUGUUAGACUAGGCAACAAGACUACAUGUCUCCUGACCUAUUAUUCACUUUAAGCAUACUUUAUUUCAUUAACCUUUAACUUUAAAACAUACUUAUGAUUGUUGGUAAACUUUCUUACUUCUAAACUAAAAUCCCAGUAAAACACACUUAAAAUAGUGAAAGUCUAUUACUUUAAAAGCCUACUAUUCUGAAGUGCCUCUAAAAUAUAUCUAUGUUAAUUUUACAUUAUUUUAUUUUUAAUUUCCAAGGUAAUUUCCUUUUUUCAUAUGACCUAUUUUACUGCUUUCUUACCGAGUUUCCUUGAUCCUUGGUCAAAGCACACCAAUUCUUAUGUCUUUGUAAUCUUUAACUAAAGGGCAGGCUUUGCACCUCAACCCAUUUGUUAUUUAUAUUAACUGUGUGUUUCCCAUUUUCAUCAUAAAUUCCUGUCUAAAGCAAAGGACCGUCUUGGGGGGGGGGGUGUAUGUUGCAGAGGUUGUGGCUUUAGAAUUGGGGGCUUAAUGUAAAUUGUUAAGCUUUCCUCAGGAACCUCGAUUUGCAAUCUUUUUCCCGUAAAUUUCUUGAGGAAUAACACUAUUGAUUGUAUCCUGAGAGAUAUUGAAACACACCUUGUGGCAUGUCUUAAUUGUAUCCUUAGUUUCAUUCUGGGAAUUUUCCUGCAAUCUUAGGCAAUACGUACUCUUAUUAUUGAUUGACAUAUGCCCUAUUAUCCAUAUCAUGAGUAUCAUAAACAAAACACUUAACAUUCCCCAUGGUUCUGGUUUCCAGAUUGUGCGGCCCUGCUACAGCAUCCCCCAUGCUGUGACCCUUUCAGACAGUGGGUAGAGGAAUGCCUUCACCACCUAUGCACGGGGGUUCUACCCUCAUGAUGUAAUCUCUUCUUAAGCAUCCCACUUCCUAAUACCAUCACAUUAGGAAUUAGACUUCAACACAUGAAUUGUGGUGGCAGCACAAACUCUUAGUCUAUAGCAGCUAGCAAAACAGUAAUUCAGGAACAAAGAAUAUAGUAAUAGGACAGAAUAGGGUCCAGAAAUAAAGCCUGUAAGUAUGUAGAACUAGAAGAUCUAUAAAGAGAAGGAAGACUUUUCACAUGAAAUUGGACCUACCUCGUGUAAAUUCAAGUUAUUUUAUGACUUAAAUGUAUAAGAUGAAACUAAGAAACUUUUGAAUUUAGGAGAAUAUGUUCUUGAGGGAAGUUCAGGGGAGGAUUUCUUAAGGUGUAAAGAGCACAAACCAUCAAGAAAGAGAAUUUGAAAACUAAAUUAUGUAAUUAAAGGACUGUUCAUCAAAAUGCAACAUAAAGAAGAAUGAAAAGACAAAUAACAAACUUAAGAGAAGAUAUUCCCAGGACAUAAAAUCAAUAAAGGGUUAUGGGCUGGAGUUGUGGCUCAGUGGCAGAGCACCUGCCUAACAUGUGUGAGACACUGGGUUCAAUCCUUAGCACCGCCUGCAAAAAUAAAUAAAUAAAAGCAUGAUGCCCAUCUACAACUACCAAAAAAAAAUUAAUAAAGGGUUAGUACUUAAAGGAUAUGAAGAACUUUAGAAUAAGAAGAAAAAGAGGCUGGAGAUAUAUGUAGCUAAGAGGUACUGGGUUCCAUCCCCACCCCCCGAUCCCCCCAAAAAAGGAAAAAUAGAAAAUAGCAGAAUAAAUAAAGGAUUGAAGAGAAAAGGAAGUACUAUGGUGUCUUGGUCAAGGUAUAACCAGAAAAUAGACACCAUUCUAGGUAUUUGUAACAGAAGGAGUUUAUUGCAGGGCACUGGUUAGAUAGGGGACAAGAGUUGAGAGGUAAUAGGGACAGGAAGGACAAUGUGGGAAGCCACUCUUAAUCCCUCAGUUGGAAGGCCUUCUCAGGCAGCUCACACCUCCUAGCAGGAACCUGGUCUUCUGUGGUUCUGUCUACACCAUCAACUAAGGAGGUGAAAGUCCUCUACAAUGAAAACUAUAGAACAUUGAAGAGACAUUGAAAAAGAUCUCAGAAAAUGGAAAGACCUCCCAUGUUCAUGGAUAGGCAGAAUUAAUAUUGUUAAGCUGGUCAUUCUACCAAUCUCCAUCAAGAUACCAAUGGCAUUCUUCACAGAAUUAGACAAAACAGUCCUAAAAUUCAUUUGGAAGAAUAAAAUAACCAAAACAAUUCUAAGCCAAAAAAAGCAACGCUGGAGGCAACACAAUACCUCACUUCAAAUACUACAGAGCUAUAGUAACAGAAAUUGCAUGAUACCAGCAUAAAAACAGACACAUAGACCAAUGAUACAGAAUAAGACACAGAGACAAAUCCUAGACAUCUACAAUCAUCUGAUUCUUGACAAAGCUGCCAAAAAUAUAUCUUGAAGACAGCCCUUUUAGCAAAUGGUACCAGGAAAACUGGUUAUUCAUAGAUUCAGAAUGAGACUAGAUCAUUAUUCACCAUGUACAAAAUUCAACUCAAAAUAGAUCAAAGACCUAGGAAUUAGAUCAGAACUAUGCAACUUCUAGAAGAAAAUGUAGGGUCAACACUGCAGCAUAUAGGCACAGGAAACAACUUUCUCAACAGGACCCCUGAAGCUCAGGAAAUAAUGCCGAGAGUUAAUAAGUGAGAUAGCAUCAAAUUAAAAACAUUUAUGCACCAAAGGAAAACAAUAAGGAAUUUGAAGAGAGAACCUACAGAAUGGGAGAGAAUUUUUGCUAGCUAUUCUUCUGGCAGAGAAUUAAUAUUUAGAAUAUAUAAAAUCUUAACACCAAAAAACCCAAACAAACAACCCUAUUAAGCCUAUAAAUAAAUGGACAAAUGAACUAAACAGAUGCUUCUCAAAAGAAGAAAUACAAAUGGCCAACAAAUAUAUGAAAAACAUGUUCAAACCAUUAGCAAUGAGGGAAAUUCAAGUCAAAACUACACUGAGAUUGCCAGGCACUUCUGUAAUCCCAGGGGCUUGGGGGCUGAGACAGGAGGAUCACAAGUUUAAAGCCAGCCUCAGCAAAAGUGAGGCCCUAAACAACUCAGUGAGACUCUGUUUUUAAAUAAAAUGCAAAAUAGGGCUGGGGACGAGGCUCAGUGAUUGAGUACCCCUGGGUUCAAUCCCUGGUACCCCCUCCAAAAAAAAAAAAAAAACUACACUGAGAUUUCAUCUCACACAGUCAGAAUGGCAGUCAUCAAGAAUAUCAAGAAAACAAAUAAUAAUAAAUGCUGGAAAGGAUAUAGAGAAAAAGGAACAUUUUUACACUGUUGGUGGGAUUGUAAAUGAGUACAACCACUGUGGAAAUCAACAUGGAAGUUCUUCAAAAGGCCAGGCAUGGAACCACUAUGUGACCCAGCUGUAAUACUCUUCAGUAUUUAUCCUAACGAAUGAAAGUCAUCAUACUAGAGCAAUACAUGCACACUCAUGUUUAUAGCAGCACUUUCACAAUAGUCAAACUAUGGAUUCAGCCUAUGUGUCCAUCAAAAUAUGACUACUUAAUGUGGUAUAUAUAGACAAUGGAUUAUAUAUCAUCUUGAAGCCAUUAACAGUGAUGUAUUAGGGCCAGUAUGCAAGUACUGAAAGUUAAAUCAUUACAAACUUGUGAGUCAGUUGAUGUCACAUUGGUCCCUUGAAAUUGACCACCAUAGGAGUAUUUAAGCAUAGAAAUCUGCAGUUACUAUACAUCAUGGCUUCUUCCUCCCAUGCAAGUUUGUUGUAGAACAUUUGCCAGCCCACCAUUGAAUGUAUAUCUGUCUAGCACGUAGAUACGAAAAGAUCUAAAGAAAAAUGUGGAAAUGACUAUACCAAACUCAGAAUAUUGGUUACCACUUGUCUUCAAUUUCUGUUACUAUAACUGAAUACUAUAGACUGGAUAAUUUAUAAAGAAUAUAUGUUUAUUUAGCUCACAGUUGUGAGGCUGGGAAGUCCAAGAGCAUGGCACAGGUAUAUACUCAGCAUCUGGUGAGAGUCUUUCUUUCUGCAUCAUAACAUGGUAGAGGGCAUCACCUGGUGGAACAGAGCCACCAAGUCAGAAAGUGAUUGCUUUCUCUCUCUCAGUAACCCAUUAAUCCAUAUGUCAGUGAAUUCACUAAUGUGGGCAGUGCCAUCAUGACGCAAUCACCUCCCCAAAGGCUCACCUCCAAAUACCAUUAAAAUUUGAAUUGGGAGAUUGAGUUUCCAACACAUGAAAUUUGGGGGAUAGAUGCAAACCAUAGUGCCACUGGAAGGGACAUAAUUUCUGAGGAACACACAGGGCUUCUGGGGUUAAUCAUUUCUCCUCCGUGGACAGAGCAGUACAUGCAGUUGUACAAAAGACCACAAACUCACAUUUUUGAAAUGUGUGUUUGUCACUUAUUAGAGAUCUGUAUGCAGAAAGAAAUGAGGGGACCAACCAGUAAGUCCAGGGACCAGAACAUCUCAAGGCUGGACAUCAGUUUCUUCAUUUAACCACCUACAAUUCCUUCCCCUAACUAUACAUACCUCUUCCUAGAACUGCUUUGGGAUCCACACAACAGGGAGGGCCUUGUGCUCAUCAUUAACAAACUUCAAAGGGCCAGAACAUUUGAGAAUAUAUUCAAACAUAUAUAUAUCAACAAGGGAAGUCACACUAUUCAAUCAGAAGAAGGCAAAGGAUGAAAGGGUCAUGAUGGUUGUAGAUAAAGAUUUUGUUAUUGUUAUCAGCAUUUUAACCUUUAAGCUGAGUUUUAUUAUGUAUAAAGGGUUGGUUUCUUCUUUAGCAUGCAGUGUUUGUUUUACUUGUUAUUUUUUACUCUGUAAAUAUAAAUUUUCAUACACUACUUUGCUACGUUUCACAAUUAAUUAAAUGUAAAAAUUACUAUGAGGGGCUGGGGUUGUGGCUCAGCGGUAGAGCACUUGUCUAGCACGUGCAAGGCGCUGGGUUCGAUCCUCAACACCACAUAAAAAUAAAUAAAUAAAAUAAAGUUAUUGUGUCCAACUACAACUAAGUAAAAAGUUUUUUUAAAAAAUUAGUAUGAGGGCUGAGUCUGUGGCUCAGUGGUAGCACACUUGCCUGGCAUGUGUGAGGCACUGGGUUCGAUUUUCAGCACCACAUAUAAAUAAAUAAAGGUCUAUCAACAACUAAAAAAAAUACCUUUGUAAAAAUUAGUAUGAGAGGAAAUAAUAUUAUAUAUGCUAUACUAUAUUUCACAAUACAUUUAAAAAGAAUAAAUUUUAUAAAAAUUUUAUUUUGUACAAUAAAUGUCUGCACUAUUGGCUCACUAAAAAAAUUCCUAGACUGAAAUUAGAAAAUCAAACCAUCUUGCAGCUAAGGCCUUAACCCUGUGGGAGAGUGCUAAAAGCUUUCUGAGGUCUUUGCUGAUUUUAAAGCAGUAGAAAACUGGGACAGAAGACUGAAUUUGAAAGAGUUCAAUAGGAUUCUCUGAAUGUUCUGGGCAGAUAUCCAGGAUGAAGGCCGGAGGUGGAGAGGAGAACACUGUAUUGUUCACAUUUGUUGAUAAGAAUGUCUUAAAAAGUGAAACUUCUUCCUCGAAGCAGAAGGGAUUCUGAUAGGGUCUAAAUGUUUACCAGGAAUGUGAUUGGCUCAGGCAAAAUGGAUAGCUAUGUAGAAAGAGCCCUUAAUCUAUAAUCAAGGUGGAAAGGACAGCACUUAAGGGUAAUGUUUUCAUGACAAUUGCUAAAAUUUCAGAGCAGCACAUGGAUUCUUUUUUGUUGUUGUUGUUCUGGAGACUGAACCCAGGGCAAGCUAGCAUAUGUUCUACCACUGAGCUAAACCCUCAGUGCUCCUCUUUCUCUUUUAAUUGUAGGAAAAUAUUAACUUUUCACAGUACCCAUAAAGAACCUCUACCUGAUAAUAUGGAAGCUAAAAUGGGUUUUGGUAAUGUGGGGAGACAGAAAGAGACCAGAAAAUGGAACUAGGCUGAUGCCCCCUAAGUAGUCUCAGAUAAGACCACAUCAGGGCAGCCAGCCUGCGAAGGACCAGGGUCUGGAUAAUGGUGACUUCUGACAGCAUACUGGGAGGCUGUGACCUGGGUUCUGGUCCACGUUUUCUGCUGGUCUGAAAUAAAUACUAAUCCUCAGAUGUGGAAAGCUCACCUGAAAAUGCCCUUUACCAAAUUUUAUUAUUAUUUUGCUGUUGUAAAUGGGAUGUUUUCCACCAGUAUGUCAUCUAAAUGUUAAGGAUAUUUUUGAGGGUUGCCUUUAAAUAUUUUGAGCAAUAGGCUCACAGACUUGGAGCUCAGAAUUUAUAAAAUAAACAAAAUAGGGAGGAAACCGGAUGAUGACAAGAGGUUUUCCUGUCACACAGUAAGGCAAUAAUACAGUGUUCCGCACUCCCCCCCCACCAGCUAGCAGGAAAGAAUGAAUGCAUUCCCUUAAAAAUCAAGAACAACGCAAGAAAGUUCACUCUAUUUCCAUUCAACAUUGUAUAGGAAUUUUAGCCAGUGCAGUAAGGAAAAAGACACAUAAAAGUAUACAGAUGGGAAAGGAAAUUGUAAAAUGUUAUGUUAAAAUGACUUAGAAAUUGUAAGGAAUCUAUAAAGACUCCUACUCUGUAAAUGUAAAUGAGUUUGGCAAGGUCAUUGGAUAAAAGGCCAAAAUACAAAAAUCAAUGGCAACAGUCAAAGGUAGCAACAAGCCAUUGGAAAUUGAAGUUAAAAGCCAUUUAUGACAGCAUCAAAAGCAUGAAAUGCUUAGUCGUAAAUCUAACGCAAUAUGUGGAAGACCUGUAUGUGAAAAUUCACAGUAUAGUUGGAAUAAAUUAAAGAAGACCUAAAUAGAUGGGAAGAUAUACCAUUGCUCAUGGAAUUAUUAAGAUAUUAAAUAUCAAAUGCACUUAGAUUGAAUGUGAUUCCACUGAACAUUCCAGAAACUGUCAAACUGAUUCUAAAAAUUGGAAAGGAAUGCAAAGGAUCUAAACUAGACAAGACAAUUUUGAGAAAGAAGUUGGAAGAUGUAUCAUGCUAAAUUUUUAAAUUAUAAUAAAUCUUUUAAAAGCUAAUGUAAUUUGACAGAAUGGUAUAGUGUAAAUAUAGACACACAGAUCAACUGAACAGAAUAGAAUUUGUAAGUGGCCCAUUUGUUUUUGACAAACGGACAAUGAAAUUGAAUAGAAAAAAGGUGUUUUUCAAUGAUGUUUCUGGAACAAAUGGACAUUUAUAUAGAAAAACAAUAAAACCUAUUAUUUCUUACACAAUACACAAAAAAUUGAUCAAAGCAUGUUUAAACCUUAGAAAAUAUGAUUCAAACCCUAUGAAAUUAUUAGUAGAAGGCCUAAGAGAAAAACCUUGGUGAUCUUGGGGUAAGAUUUCUUAGAAUGAAGAAAAAUAGAAAUUAUAAAAGAAAAACGAGGGAAUGGGAUUAUGGCUCAGCAGUAGAGUGCUCACCUAACUUGUGCUAGGGGCUGGGUUCAAUCCUCAGCACCACAUAAAAAUAAAUAAAUAAAAUAAAGGUAUUGUGUCCAACUACAACUAAAAAAAAUAUUAAAAAAAGAAAAAAACUUGAAAGACUGAACUUUAUCAAAAUUAAGUACUGCUACUUUUCAAAACACACUGUUAUGAAAAUAAAGGAAGCUGUAGAUUGUGGGAAAUUAUUUUCAAUGUAUAUAUAUGACAAAGGCCUUAUAUGUAGAAUAUAGAUACAACUCCUGUUCAAUAAAAAGAUAUAAUUUCCAAAUAUAAACUAAAGAUUUGAAGAUACUCCACUAAAGAAGAUAUGAAAGUAUCUAGCAAGCACACGAGAAGCUGCUUAGCAUCAUUUGUCAUCAGAGAAGUGCAAAUUUAAACCACAAUGAAAUACUAUCUUAUAUCCUCUAUCCUGGCUUAAAAAAAAAAAUAGUUGAUGCCCUUUCCCCUGGUCAGUAGUCCAGAAAGCACGUGAAACUUAGAAUUCCUGUAAAAGAUGUAAACCAGCAAGAGUUCAUCAGAGUUCUGGCAGCCUUUCUUUAAAAAUCCAGGAAGCUGAAGGUCCUCGAGUGGGUGGACACAGUCCAGCUGGCCAAGCACAAACAACUUGUUCCCUAUAAUAAGAAUUGGUUCUUCACAUCAGCUGUUUCCAUAUCAGGGCACCUGGACCUCUGGGGGUGGUGCAAGAGUUGGCUCCAUGACUACAUUCUAAAGGAAAGAUCAGAGAAAUGGCAUCACGCCCAGCCACUUCAGCCAAGUCAUCAAGAAUGUGGCCUGGUCGUGAUGGCUGCACAACAAUGUGAAUGUACUCAAAACUACUGCAUUGUAUGCUUCAAAAUGGUUAAGAUGGUAAAUGUUAUGUUUUGUGUUUUUUGUGUAUUUUACCACAAGGAAAAAAAAAGUAGAUACAUCAGUGGAACAAAACAGUCUAUAAAUAGAUUGCAGGCAUAUGGUCUACUGGUUUUCAAAAAAGUGUUGUAAUGGAAUAAAAAGAAGAGAGAGUAAGAGUGUGUGUGUGUGUGUGUGUGUGUGUGCUUUUUUCAGAAAGAAAUAUAGCAUGAAACUCACUGAGCUGCUUUGUGCAAGCUGUAUGACAUUGGCCUUCACCAUUUCUAAGAACAAUUCAUUUAUGAAGCCUAUAUGCCAGGUUCCAGGUCUGAUAGUUUACUUGAAUUCUUUAAUUUUUGCAACAACCUUAGGAGAUAGGAUUUAUUUUACAAAUACUAAUACUGAGCCUCGGAGAUCUUAGGUACCCAUGCUGGUGACUGGGAGAGCUGUUUGAAAGCUCCUUUAUCAAUUCCAGAACAAGUGCACUUGGCCUUUACCUCUAAGUUGCAUCUUUCUGUGUAAGGAGUUUUGGAGAGGUUCCUAUCUUCUACCAUUGUAACCCAAGGACCACUUUCCUUGUCCUGAUUCUAAGCCUAAGGUGAAGAACUUGUUUUCUCUCCUGCUGCUCUAGAGGAGGCAAAGUGAGGCAGUGCAGAAAGUCCUAUGAACAAAUACCCCGAGUUGCCAUUUGAGAGCAGGUGGCCUUGUGCAAAUCACUGUGACUUCAUGGAUGAAAAAGUUGCCAAUUUAAAUCAGCUCCAAGUUUCCUUUCUGUUCUAGGAUUCUAAGAUAUGACAAAGCUAAGAUAGGCUGAAAAUAAAUUUUCUCAGAAGGCUAA